AGUCGAGCGAACGGACGAGAAGCUUGCUUCUCUGAUGUUAGCGGCGGACGGGUGAGUAACACGUGGAUAACCUACCUAUAAGACUGGGAUAACUUCGGGAAACCGGAGCUAAUACCGGAUAAUAUUUUGAACCGCAUGGUUCAAAAGUGAAAGACGGUCUUGCUGUCACUUAUAGAUGGAUCCGCGCCGCAUUAGCUAGUUGGUAAGGUAACGGCUUACCAAGGCAACGAUGCGUAGCCGACCUGAGAGGGUGAUCGGCCACACUGGAACUGAGACACGGUCCAGACUCCUACGGGAGGCAGCAGUAGGGAAUCUUCCGCAAUGGGCGAAAGCCUGACGGAGCAACGCCGCGUGAGUGAUGAAGGUCUUCGGAUCGUAAAACUCUGUUAUUAGGGAAGAACAAAUGUGUAAGUAACUACGCACGUCUUGACGGUACCUAAUCAGAAAGCCACGGCUAACUACGUGCCAGCAGCCGCGGUAAUACGUAGGUGGCAAGCGUUAUCCGGAAUUAUUGGGCGUAAAGCGCGCGUAGGCGGUUUUUUAAGUCUGAUGUGAAAGCCCACGGCUCAACCGUGGAGGGUCAUUGGAAACUGGAAAACUUGAGUGCAGAAGAGGAAAGUGGAAUUCCAUGUGUAGCGGUGAAAUGCGCAGAGAUAUGGAGGAACACCAGUGGCGAAGGCGACUUUCUGGUCUGUAACUGACGCUGAUGUGCGAAAGCGUGGGGAUCAAACAGGAUUAGAUACCCUGGUAGUCCACGCCGUAAACGAUGAGUGCUAAGUGUUUAGGGGGGUUUCCGCCCCUUAGUGCUGCAGCUAACGCAUUAAGCACUCCGCCUGGGGAGUACGACCGCAAGGUUGAAACUCAAAGGAAUUGACGGGGACCCGCACAAGCGGUGGAGCAUGGUGGUUUAAUUCGAAGCAACGCGAAGAACCUUACCAAAUCUUGACAUCCUUUGACAACUCUAGAGAUAGAGCCUUCCCCUUCGGGGGACAAAGUGACAGGUGGUGCAUGGUUGUCGUCAGCUCGUGUCGUGAGAUGUUGGGUUAAGUCCCGCAACGAGCGCAACCCUUAAGCUUAGUUGCCAUCAUUAAGUUGGGCACUCUAAGUUGACUGCCGGUGACAAACCGGAGGAAGGUGGGGAUGACGUCAAAUCAUCAUGCCCCUUAUGAUUUGGGCUACACACGUGCUACAAUGGACAAUACAAAGGGCAGCGAAACCGCGAGGUCAAGCAAAUCCCAUAAAGUUGUUCUCAGUUCGGAUUGUAGUCUGCAACUCGACUACAUGAAGCUGGAAUCGCUAGUAAUCGUAGAUCAGC
rnacentral:rRNA from 1 species